GAUGAACGCUGGCGGCGUGCCUAAUACAUGCAAGUCGAGCGAACGGACGAGAAGCUUGCUUCUCUGAUGUUAGCGGCGGACGGGUGAGUAACACGUGGAUAACCUACCUAUAAGACUGGGAUAACUUCGGGAAACCGGAGCUAAUACCGGAUGAUAUUUUGAACCGCAUGGUUCAAAAGUGAAAGACGGUCUUGCUGUCACUUAUAGAUGGAUCCGCGCUGCAUUAGCUAGUUGGUAAGGUAACGGCUUACCAAGGCAACGAUGCAUAGCCGACCUGAGAGGGGGAUCGGCCACACUGGAACUGAGACACGGUCCAGACUCCUACGGGAGGCAGCAGUAGGGAAUCUGCCGCAAUGGGCGAAAGCCUGACGGAGCAACGCCGCGUGAGUGAUGAAGGUCUUCGGAUCGUAAAACUCUGUUAUUAGGGAAGAACAUAUGUGUAAGUAACUGUGCACAUCUUGACGGUACCUAAUCAGAAAGCCACGGCUAACUACGUG
rnacentral:rRNA from 1 species